AGGGGCCCAGGCCACCGGCGGCCGCCGCUCUGUCGCCACAGACGGGAAGGAGUUGUCGGAGAGAAGGGGACCGGGGAAAGGGGAUCUCAGUGCGGAGAGAGUUUUGGAAAAGAAUGUUGAAAUUGCCCGACCCUUAGGGCACUAUGGGAAAGGUUGUUCGGCGCAGCCCAGCGGCUGGACUGCAACUCCCAGGAUGCCCCUGGACGACCGAGAGAGGCGGCUGCGGUGGCCUCCUCGGCCACGAAGGUGGUACCCCUUUUGAUGCUUAUUUUAUCCUGAUACCGCCCGAGUGCCGAGAGUGGAGGUGGACGAUGUGAUUUGCAUCUGCAAAAUGCAGAAGAUUUGGGACCCGUCUUGGAACCUUCUUCCAUCCCUAGAUUUCCUGAUAGAUGAUGCUGAAGGGGCUUCCCUGGUGACGCAGUGGUUAAGAAUCUGCCUGCCAAUGCAGGAGACACGGGCCGAGCCCUGGUCCGGGAAGAUCCCACAUGCCGCGAAGCAACUAAGCCCGUGCGCCACAGCUCCUGAGCCUGCGCUCUAGAGCCCAUGCGCCACAACUACUGAAGCCCGCGCGCCUAGAGCCCGUGCUCCGCAACAACAGAAGCCACCGCAAUGAAAAGCCCUCACAUGGCAACAAAGAGUAACCCCCGCUUGCUGCAACAAGAGAAAGCCGGCGCACAGCAAAGAAGAUCCAAUGCAGCCAAAAAUAAAUAAAUUAAUUAAUUAAUUAAUUUUAAAAAAACUGUUCUCCAACUUGAUAACACUAUUGAUAAUUUUUUUAAAAAUCACAUUGCAAAAACUGCACCACUCUAAAAAUAAGCCAUUUUUAUUUUCCCAUGUUCUUACUUUCCAGUCUUAUUCUAUACAGAGAUAUUCUUUUUUACAUGGUGGAAUC